ACCAAAGCCAGCUGAAAAUAAAAAAGAAACGGUGCAGAUCAAAAAAAAAAGUCACUUUUUUUUUUUCUUUUGUGUCGUUAAUGUCCUUUGUGGCUUUUUUUUAAUCAGCACUGUUUCUUUUUUAUUUUCAGCGGGCUUUGGG